UACGUAGGGUCCGAGCGUUGUCCGGAAUUACUGGGCGUAAAGAGCUCGUAGGUGGUUUGUCGCGUUGUUCGUGAAAACUCACAGCUCAACUGUGGGCGUGCGGGCGAUACGGGCAGACUAGAGUAUGCAGGGGAGACUGGAAUUCCUGGUGUAGCGGUGAAAUGCGCAGAUAUCAGGAGGAACACCGAUGGCGAAGGCAGGUCUCUGGGCAUUAACUGACGCUGGAGGAGCGAAAGCAUGGGGAGCGAACAGG
rnacentral:rRNA from 1 species